CGAUCUGGUGUAUUUCCACCUGCAUGUGAAGUGAAAUAGCAGGUUAACGUCAAAUUCCGGGGCUUGUGUAAAAGUCACCCUCUUAACAGCAACCACAAUGCUACUGCUUCCUGUUCUUCCAUUUUCUUUCCUGUUCAAUUGCUUGAAACCCUCAAACAACAAGUUCUGAUUCUACAGUAUUCCUGUAAUUCCUUUCUCUGUGUAUUUACCUACUUUUAUCUUUCAAUGUGCAUUUCCAUCUUGGCACCAUAACAAACAAUUCAAAAAUGCCAUCUAAUGCAUUAUGCCACUGAGCACUGUAGCCAGUGAUUUUAAGUGUACUAGAUUAUCUUCAGGUUGAAAAGAGCGUAAGCUGGAGAAAUAAAUGUCUACAUCUUAGCUAAAGGCAGGGGUCAAAACAACUUAUGAAUGGUUAGUUUGAAAAUGCUUUAAGGCCCGACUAUCAGAGCUGACUGAAAACAUUUGAGUUAGGCAGAGUUGUAAUGUUAUGUGAAUAGUGAGAAGUGUUACAAACACAGUAGCCAUAUAUUUUAAUUACAAUAGAGUUUAUUAGCUUUUCUUUUAAUAUAAACAUGAGGAAGCAAAACCACAUAAGUUGUAGCAUUCUUUUCAAAAUAAAACUGCAAUCAGUACUUGAAUUUCCAAGCUCCAAACUCCAUAAACAAUAUUUUUUGAGGUGGUAGAUUGUAGUAUUUUAUAUACCAUAAUUUAUCAUUUAUGUCUCUGUCCCUUAAAAAUGAUGGAACCUGCAGCACUCAGUAUAAUGUGAAGCCUUGCGAUAAAGAGAGAAAGUACUUCUGGCCCAGAAAUGCUUUGUUUACAGGCAAAAUUCCUAGGAUUACAUUUGAGAAGGUAGGAGGAGAAAGAUUUCACAUAGUUGAGAACACUUUUUUUUUUUUAAUAUUUCAAGUUUAGGUGACAUUGUUACCAAUCUCCAAAAAGACUGAUUACUGGACCUCCCUGCCUUUUAAAGCCUGAGGCCACCCACAAAGACAGGUUCACUGUCAAGCGGGCACUUCGAGAGUCUGCUGGAAUUACCUCUCUGGCUCAUCCUGCUUCCCACCCUUGGGGCCCUUCACCAGAGCCAGAUUGGAAGCCUGGCGUUUCAUGCCAAUGUGAGCGUGCCAUCUGUGAGCAGAACCUGCCUAGUUAACUCAAGGCCCCACAAAGUGCCGCUGUGUUUGCUGAGUGCCCUGGGUGAGGCCCCAGGGAUGCUUCCCGGACUACCUGAGAGGUUCUACAAAGACUUUGCUCAGCCAAGCCAAGGCCAGAGGCCAGGUCACAGUUAGUCCCCAGUCCUUCUGUGGCAUGAACUUGAAGAUAAAAACUGGUGGUCAAGAGAGCCUCCCAGUGGCUGCUGCGUGGCACAGCAGGACAGGCAGUCCAAAGGGGCUUGACAGCUAGCUGUCAAGUAUUCCCAUAUUUUAGUGCCUUUUUAAGGAACACACAUGCAUACAAAGGGUAGUCCUUUUCAUAUCCCCAAUUUUUCACAUCUCCAUUAUCAUUUCAUUAUUCAUUUCUGUCUUACAUAAUCUGCAGCUUAGUCAAUUCUUUUGGUUUUAAGGUGGGAAGACCUGCCUGUGUCUGUAUCCCUGGGGCUCCUCUAAACCUGCCGGUUUGUGAGAUGAUUUCAUGGUUUCUUUUACAUGUAUCAAAUGUCUACCCUACAAAGAACUGGAUGGAGUUAACAGCUGAGCAAAGAUUAGAGAGGAACCUACUUUCAUUUGGGAAAAACAGGACCAUACCAUGUGUACAAGACAGAAAUUUCUACAGAUGCUUUACGAAAGAAAAAAUAUCUUACCAAAGUUAUUACUGCAGUUUCAGCAGUUAGAUGUGUGGCACUACAAAGAGUAUAAACAAAUCUGUAAAUGACUUUGUGUUCAGGAUCAUGCUCGAAGUAUUCCUCUGGAACCUUUUCUCGCUGAAAGGAGAAAAAAUGCAAUUUAUGUAUCCAUGGAAGAAAAAUACUUAAAAGUACCCUUAAGAUAGCAGUCUUCACACUUGGGCCCACGUGCCCCUUAAAAUAAUUUUGGUUGGGUGACAUGUCUUGUAGUCUUUUAAAUAUAAACAAUGGGAUCCUAAAAUACCACAGUGAUCCAGUACUCACCACCAUUCAUUAAAGAAAAAUACAGGCACAACCGCAGAAAAUUUAUGUAUUUCCACGUUCCUCCCCACAGAAUUCUAACCAAAUGUAAACUAUUGGGUUGGCCAAAAAGUUCAUUUGGUUUUAAGUAAAAAUAAAAGACACAGUUUUCAUUUUCACCAAGCAUUUUAUUAAACAAUAUAUUCACUAACCAAACAAACUUUUUGGCCAACCCAAUAUUUUUAGGCUCAAAAGUCUUGCUGAUCACCAUAUGUCAUACUUUUCUGUCAUCAACUUUGAAAACACAUUUCCAGUGUCCUGUAACCAUAAGGCUCGAAGAAUGUGCUGUCCUGUACAGCAGUCGCCAGCCACGUGUGGCUACAGAGCACCCGAAGAAGUGAAUUUUAAAACUUUGUCAUUUUAAUUCGUUUAAAAUUUAAACAGUUUUCUAAUUUUCUUCUUAGAGGCCUUAUCAUAUUAGGUUUAUUUACAAAUAUUUAUAUUGUUUGAUGCUAUGGAAAAUCAUCCUUUAAAAAGAUACAUUUUCUGUUACUUGGGUAUGUUUACUUACCUGCUCACUAUUCAUACAAAGUGCAACUCGGUUCAUAUCCAUCAACCCCUUAUACAACACGCCUUCGGGAAAAUGACUAGACACAACAUGGCGUGGGGAAGAAGACUUAAAGGAAGAUGAAUUUGACUUCGAGCUGGAGGAAGUAAUUUUCUUCUAGUACUUAAUUUCAAAGCAAAUCAGCAUGAAAUAAACACAACUGUAUAAGAGAAAAAUACCACUUCAAUAAAACUGACACUUACUGUGA